AUUGAACGCUGGCGGAAUGCUUUACACAUGCAAGUCGAACGGCAGCACGGGGCAACCUGGUGGCGAGUGGCGAACGGGUGAGUAAUACAUCGGAACGUGCCCAAUCGUGGGGGAUAACGUAGCGAAAGUUACGCUAAUACCGCAUACGAUCUACGGAUGAAAGCGGGGGAUCGCAAGACCUCGCGCGAAUGGAGCGGCCGAUGUCAGAUUAGGUAGUUGGUGGGGUAAAGGCUCACCAAGCCAACGAUCUGUAGCUGGUCUGAGAGGACGACCAGCCACACUGGAACUGAGACACGGUCCAGACUCCUACGGGAGGCAGCAGUGGGGAAUUUUGGACAAUGGGCGCAAGCCUGAUACCAGCCAUUCCGCGUGCAGGAUGAAGGCCUCGGUUGUAACUAGCUUCUAGCCGGAAAGAAAGUACGCCAAGACUAAUA
rnacentral:rRNA from 1 species